rnacentral:lncRNA from 1 species
UUUUUUUUUUUUCUCUGUGCUUUUACUGUGGAAGAUUAAUGUGUAUGGAAAUCUCCCCACAUCCUACAGCAUGGCUCUUUCCACGAGUCCAAACUAAAAUUCAGUUUAGUCUCCCAGUGCCCACUUGUACUCUUGCGGAGUUUAACACAGUCCUGUGCACCUGGGUCUUUGGUAUGCUAAGAUCCAUCUUGCCCCUGUAGCCAACGAUAGCUGACCCUCAUUAUGCACCUAGGACAGAAGGCUAGGACUAAACCAGAGCCUUGUGUGAAUUAACCUUAAUCCUUGCAACCAUCCUACAAAGGUGUUCCCCCAUUUUACAGAUGAAAACAAGGCUCAAGUUAAGUAGAAGGGUCUGCCUGGAUUUUGAGCUCUCUGGAACAAAUCCAAACUUGUUAGGAGGCUCCUGUGAUCUUGGGCAAGGUGAACCUAUUUCCUUAGCUCCAAAAACAGGGGCGUGGACAAGAAUUAAAACUCUUUCCAGCUCUGAAUGAUUCCGUGGGAUUCUAGGAAUGUAAAACAAAUGCAUUUCUAUAGAAUCCUGGAGCUGGACAAGCCUUGGUCAAUGUAAUAUUAAGACUACUGUGAAGAUGUUUUACUUAAGUGACCAGAAGUUCUGGGUGGGUCCGUUAAGCGUUUGUGUGCAGCUCUGGCCAUGAUCCCAGGGUCUGGAACAGAGCCCUGCAUUGGGUUCCCUGCCCAAUGAGGAGUCUGCUUUUCCCUCUGUGCUCUCCUCCUUCCUCAAAUAUGUAAAAUGUUAAAAAAAAAAAAAAAAGAAGAAAAAAAAGCCUUAAGGAUUAAAAACAGGUGUGUCAUGUACUUCCACUUUGCUUUGGACCAUCAGCUUCACAGCCUCAUCAAUUGAACAUUUCCUCACCAAUACUCAAAAUCUUCCCGGAUGGAGAUAAUGUGCUCAAAUAAGGAAAACCAGUAACUAGUACUGCUAGCAGUUACUGCAGAUUUAGAAAAUUUAAGAUUGGGUUCAUCUUGUCCUAGUGCCGAUCCUCACAUCAAGUUCCCAUUUCCAUUCUAGCAGCCUUUCCCCAACAGCACCAUGCGCCUUGAGCCGGGUCUCCUUUUUGCAGAAGGUUCCUCCUAGCUUGCAUUCCCUCUUGUAAUUCACUCAACACUGCAUUCAAGUCCUACUCCUCCAACUGCUUAAAACCCUGUCGAUGACUUCCCAUCCCAUUUAGCCUGAAGGUCAGAACUUUUACUGAGGUCCACAGUUCUGUGGGUCCUGGCCCUGCCUGCCUUAUGCCAGCCGUGGAGCACUUGACUCCCUCACACUAGACCAGCCACACCACCGUCAAAAGGGGGAGCUGUGCAUCUCAUUUCCCUUAAUAGAGUGGAAUCUGGAACGCCUGGGUAGCUCAGCAGUUGAGCCUCUGCCUUUGGCCCAGGGCAUGAUCCUGGAAUUCUGGGAUAGAGUCCCACA